rnacentral:misc_RNA from 1 species
AAUUCUCAACUGCCCCAGGCUUUGUGGCUUGUGGGUGAAGUUGGACUUGGAGAUAUGCUGGCGCAUGAAUGGGCUUUAUGCCCUGUUGUGCUUGUCGGCUCCUCUUGAAUGCAUGAGCUUUCCAAUCCUUGGCAAAGUAUCGUCGAUGUGAUAAUUAUCUAUGUCGCCCGAGAAAGCCGAAAAGGGGAAAUCUUUGAUCACGCUGGGGUGUGACCCCUCGUCUGACAC